CAGUCGCCGCGGGAAUACGGAGGGUGCAAGCGUUAAUCGGAAUUACUGGGCGUAAAGCGCACGCAGGCGGUCUGACAAGUCAGAUGUGAAAUCCCCGGGCUUAACCUGGGAACUGCAUUUGAAACUGUCAGGCUGGAGUCUUGUAGAGGGGGGUAGAAUUCCAGGUGUAGCGGUGUAAUGCGUAGAGAUCUGGAGGAAUACCGGUGGCGAAGGCGGCCCCCUGGACAAAGACUGACGCUCAGGUGCGAAAGCGUGGGGAGCAAACAGGAUUAGAUACCCCUGUAGUCCCUGUCUCUUAUAC
rnacentral:rRNA from 1 species